rnacentral:rRNA from 1 species
GAGGUGAGAAGGGUUCAGGUGCUACCUCUACUCUUUGGUUGUUGAGGAGCGGGGGUACAAAGAUAGUCGUGCGUGACGGUGAUAGGGGUCAUCGUCGAUAAUUUGGUCGAGUGUGUGUAGGGUGGGUCUUUUUUGACUUUUCGUGUCGUCGAGGGGACGUGCCGCAUGACGAGGUAAGGAGGAGGAGGAGGAGGAAGUUACGGCGGGCGGCAAGUUUGGAGGGUAGAUUAUUGACGCGGCGUGGGCAUGAUCCAUGCUCAUCUGAAGUUCACGAGCAGGUGGUGGUACGGUGAGGUGAGGGUGCAGGCGGCGGAGCACGAGAACGACGAUCAAGAAAGGUGAUGCAAAGGGCUGGGACAGAGGAGAAGAACGCGGCCGCCGCAGGCCCUGCUGCGCCGCUAGCAGCGCCGGCGCAAGGCGAUGCACGCGUUGAAGGCCGGCGUCCCGCACGGCCGUACGUCCGGGCAGGCCCUCGACGCGGAGGGCAGCGCCUUGGAGUGCCCGCGGCACCGCACCCGCCGCGAGCGCUUGGACAGGCGGGAGCGGCGCGAGCUGGAGAGGCCCUUGCGCGAGGUCCCGCGGUAGGGGCCGCCGAAGACCGCGCGCGGCCGCGAGGCGCGGCAGCUACACAGCCCCUUGGUCGAGCCGCCGAGCGACGCCCACCUCGGCUUGGGCGCCGACGUCAGGGAGUUGCACAGGCCGUUGGCGAAGUGGCAGCAGCGCCCCCACCUGCCGGAGGGCCCCGAGCUGCGGGAGCUGCACAGCCGCUUGUCCUAGGCGCGCCACGGCGUCCCCGACUCCGCCGACUGCGCUAACGCGGCCGAGCUGGAGAGGGCCUUGCGCUACGCGCCCUCCAAGGGGCCGCUGGACGGGGGCGAGCUGCCCCAGGCAAAGAACUUGCAGAGCAUGUUGUUGGACAGGCCGCGCCACUUGCGGUCGCGGCACUUCUUCAAGCCCGGGAGCCGCAAGUAGGUGCGGCCGUUACGAAGUAAUCACAAGAGUUUUCUGAGGGGACGCGCCGGAGUAGGUGGCGGAGGCGGCGGUGCUCCUUGUUCACGUUUCUUCCGAGUAGGGCGCUCCUGCCGCUUCUCGUGCCGUUGCUUUUGCUUUUCUUUCUUCGUAGACCCGCACCAGCGGCACCGCUAACACACGCCCCACCGCAGCCACCAGCAGGACGAGACGAACCAGCCUAGGCACCGCACGCCCCACCACUCCACGUCCUUCUCCUUCUUGCCUCUGUUCCUCCGCCUCCUCUUCUUCCACGUCACCCCACUCUUCCUUCUUCUGCUCCACCAACACCGCCGCCGCUGUAGUUUCCCCCGUAGCCGGCGCGGCCACCACGAGAAGCUCGCCGGCGAGUACCUCGACUGCGAGCGGCUGGAGCGGCGCCGGUGAAGGCCAAAGCCGGCGCUUAGGGUCGAGCGCCUCGCGCCACCGGCGUCGCCGCGGCGCAUGGCGCGGCAAGACGGGCCCCUGGACGUGCAGCAGCACGCGCAGCACCUCCCGCGGUACCGGCCCCAGCCCCUCCUGCUGUUGGGCCGGCGGCGCCGGCGCCGCAAGGCACUUGAGCGCGCCGAGGCCGUGGGGUUGUAGGAAGGCGAGGAACCUAUGACGUAACGUCCCUCCCUCUUCGACGACGAUAUGCUCAUGUACCUCUUUCCGCUGGAGGUGGCCACCGAGGUGCUCGACGGCCGCCCCGCCGGCCUGUACCUGCUGCGGCCGCCCCUGUAGACCCUCCGCCGCCUCCUGUUCGCCAGCUAUAGGCUGACCGGCUGCGCCGUGGCGUAGCGCGAUCCGCAGCGGGCCCCGGACCGCAAGGACGUGGUUCCCACCCGGCCCAGUACGGCCCGCUGCCACGUGCCGGUGGAGCAGGGCUGGUUGCAGGAGGAGUCGCUGCUGGACCUCGGGGCCUAUAGGCUGAAGCCCGUGGAGCCGCCGCCGCCGCCGCUCCUGCUGCUGCGCUGCGGCCUCCGCCUGCACAUGCCCAAGCCGCGCGACCACGACCUCGACUACUGCCCCGUCCGCUCCACCCUGCUCCGCAGCCACUCGACCCGCGCGCCCGAGUAGGCGCUGCCGUUCCCCGACCUGUACCACCUGGGCGCCCACGUGCCGCCGCUCCGCCGCCUCGCCCUCUACCACCUCACGGACGCCCACCCCAUGGACACGUGCCGCGUGAGCGGCCUGUUCGCCGGCUGCUACGUCGUCCACCACCCGCACGAGUUCCUGUAGGCCGGAGCACGCGAGCUGCCGCCACCGCUGCGCACUAGUACGGUACGUACGUGACGGUCACGCGACGCACACUUGACGCGCGCACGCACGCACCGAACUUGACGGUCGGUGGUCGUGUACGGGAGCGAGCUCACGUGGUAUGUGCAGUGCCGAAAAGGAAAAAAGAUGACAUUAUUAGCCAUCCGGAGCAUGCUACACGUCAUCGUCACUGUUAAGGCAGCGUCCCUUGUAAACUAAAGUCUGGUAAAGAGAGCACAACGACGCGGGCAUGUGGUAUUUACACAAGGGCGGUAAAUUAACGUUUUCGAAUGUGGUCUCGAGGUAGCUGUUCU